AUGAAUCCUCGUAUUGACUCUCUGAGCUUUGGAGAGGAACGUCCGGUGGGUGUCAGCGAGUCUUUGCAAGCACCAGGUCACCUACUGCUGCUUCCCAGGAAGGAGGAGGUUCCCACGGAUUAUCAUCCCUUUCCGUGGGGUCCGGAAGGAGCCCCCCAGCCCAUUGCAGGGAGCUUGCGGCAGCCUCGUCCGUCUCCGUGUUCAGAGGCAACGCGCAAUGCCGGGCAGGAGGAGGCGAGCGUGACUGUCCCCGGCCGAGCGCGGCGCAGCCCCGAACAGAUGGCGCGGCGGAGCCAUGCCGUGGCCUCCGACAGCAAACACCAGGCCCCAUUGUUUCCUGCGAAAAGAGGGAUCGCGGAGCCAGCAGAGGAGACCUUCUGGAAGUGGGAGAAGCACAUUGCAGUGAGAUCUCUGGGUUCGCCUCGUUUUAACCCAGAGCAUGGGCAGGAUGGGUGCAGAACAGGCCAGUGCCUGGGACCAGGUGUGAGGAGCAGGUGCAUGAACACUGCGAAUUCAGAGUGGCAGGUUUCCAGUUUGCUUCAAGAUAAUCUUGUGUUUUGCUGGGUGGGUUUUCCCAGUGUAAUGGAGUUCCUCAGAGCAGCGAGAAAAACUCCAGCAGAGUGAAAAUUUCUGAAAUAGGGAAAAAGAGCAAAACCACCAGAAUAGGGAGUCAGUAUUAAAAAAAAAAAAAAAAAAGGAGAGAGAGAGAAAAGAGGAACUAGGAAACAGGGGUAUGUUACACAGUAUACAAGCCAACAAGCAAUAUCUGCAGGUCAUCCAUUCAUCCGAGCCUUGGAGAGGACAUAGGUCCUUGGGUUAAAUUACAGCAGUCCCUCUUCCUCAGCCUCUAUAAUUUUGCCUCCAAAUGCCCAGCAACAACAGUGACAAAAAUAGUUUGCAAAAUCUGAUAAAAAUCUUGAUUUCCCAAAGGUUUGCCAAGCUCUGUUUCAAGCACAAAUUGCUCUGGCUGUGAUUCCCCCAUUCAGCACUGACUGUCCAGCUGUUCCCUCCCUCCCUGCUCAGAUGGAGAAGUAUAAAUGUUCGCUACUAAUAGCCUCACCACCAGCCCUUCAAAACCGUUUUCCUAGCCGUAUCCUUUGAUUAUUAUUUUUAUUCCUUUUUUCUGAGAGUGUUGUCUUUAAAGUGAGAUUUUCUUUGGUUAGCAAUAGCUCACAGUUAGUAUUUCCUUUGGGGAUGGAGGGCUGUGGAAAGGGAGCAGCGGGGGAGUGCUGAAAGCAGGCUCCCAGGGGACGUCGCUGGCCUUUUUGGGAAGCCACGGCAGCCAGCAGGGCUCGUUCUUGGUGUGCAGCGAAGGCAUCGGGCUCCCGUUCCGGCGCAUGGAUGUGGCAUGGAGCAGAUUCAGCUCCUUCGGUCAUUCUCUGUUUUUGCAGACAACAGACUAAACAGUCUACAGUGGGGCAAUUACCUUAAUAAAGAUAAUUUCAGCUUUGCUGGAGUGAUUUAA
rnacentral:lncRNA from 1 species